rnacentral:rRNA from 1 species
AAUUUCGUGGAGGUCCGAACCCACGAGCGUUGAAAAGCUCGGGGAUGACUUGUGGGUAGCGGUGAAAUUCCAAUCGAGCCCGGAGAUAGCUGGGUCUCCCCGAAAUAGCUUUAGGGCUAGCCUCAAGGUGAGAGAUACGGAGGGAGAGCACUGAAUGUCCUAGGGGGUAUUGCACCUACCGAAGACUAUCAAACUCCGAAUGCCGUCAUCUUAUACUUG